UACGUAGGGGGCAAGCGUUGUCCGGAAUCAUUGGGCGUAAAGCGCGUGUAGGCGGCCCGGUAAGUCCGCUGUGAAAGUCGGGGGGCUCAACCCUCGGAUGCCGGUGGAGUACUGUCGGGCUAGAGUGCGGGAGAGGCGAGUGGAAUUCCUGGUGUAGCGGUGAAAUGACGCAGAUAUCAGGAGGAACACCAAUUGCGAAGGCAGCUCGCUGGAACGUUACUGACGCUGAGACGCGAAAGCGUGGGGAGCAAACAGG
rnacentral:rRNA from 1 species